CUUAUUCAGAGAGGUAGUCACAUCUUGCUUCUGGUUCUAAGGGAUUUAUAAAGAACCUCUAAAUACAGUUACUGAUUCACAAUAUGCAUAAAGAGUUGUCUUUCAUAUAAAUCCCUGAAUUUAUUCCAGAUGAUACAGAAUAUUCUUUCUUAUUCUUACAGCUUCAAGAUUUAAUCAGGAAUAGGCUUUGUCCCAUAUACACAAGACACAUCCAAUUCCUUACAGGUCUGUAAAGUCUUCUAGCACAAGGUAAUGCAGAAAUUGAUUAAUUAUUGAUCAGAAGCAUGUUGCAAGCCUUGGAAUUUCAUAAAAAACAUCAUGUCAAUAGCAAAGGUUGAAAGAAAGAACUUUCCAUUACAUGAAAAUGAGCUAAGGUGAUUAUAAAUAGAUGUUCUACUUGUUUUUUCUAUAACCAAACACCUUUACCUUCUGGGAGUAACCCAAAGGGUACUCAAAGGAAUGAGAUCUAGCAGAUGCAUGUGUUCUACUUUACGGAAUUUGGUCAAUUAAAAUAUGUGCACCACACCACAGACACCUAUUCAGGAGAAGAAAAACUAAGGAUACCAUCAAAAUUAAUAAAGAUUUGCUUUGUAAAGGGAAAACCUCUUGAAAAAAAGAAAUGAAAGCUCAUCCAUACAGGUGAGAACCAUACGGGUGGUAAGGAAGUCUCAUAGGGCUGGGGAAGGGCUCUAUUCUUGUCUUUGCAGGAAAAUAUUCAUCUUCAAAAGGUCAAGAGACCCUGGACAUCUAGAUGCCUAAAGAGAAAAAGAUAAUUAUCCUGAUAGGAUCACAAAGUGAAGAGAAUUAUGACUUCUGAGGACCUGUAAUCUGAGGGAUUCUAUAAAAAGAACAUGCCCCCAUGACAACUGGAAAUAAUUAUAGAAGACAAGGUCUCUUCUCACAACAAAGUUUGUUCUUAUGAGAGAAUGUUGAGCACCAGCGACACUCCACUUG